rnacentral:rRNA from 1 species
AACGUAGGUGGCGAACGUUAUCCGGAUUUACUGGGCGUAAAGAGUGCGUAGGCGGCUUUUCAAGUCGGAUGUAAAAUCUCCUGGCUCAACUGGGAGGGACCAUCCGAUACUGUUGAGCUCGAGUGCAUCAGAGGAGAAUGGAAUUCCCGGUGUAGUGGUGGAAUGCGUAGAUAUCGGGAGGAACACCAGUGGCGAAAGCGGUUCUCUGGGAUGUUACUGACGCUGUUGCACGAAAGCGUGGGGAGCAAACAGG